GUUAACCCCGGGCCAGGAGCCGGGUGAUGACGGAGGGUGCAAGCGUUAUCCGGAUUGAUUGGGUUUAAAGGGUCCGUAGGCGGGCCUAUAAGGCAGUGGUGAAAUCUCACAGCUUAACUGUGAAACUGCCGUUGAUACUGUAGGUCUUGAGUAAAUUUGAAGUGGCUGGAAUAAGUAGUGUAGCGGUGAAAUGCAUAGAUAUUACUUAGAACACCAAUUGCGAAGGCAGGUCACUAAGAUUUAACUGACGCUGAGGGACGAAAGCGUGGGGAGCGAACAGGAUUAGAUACCUUUGUAGUC
rnacentral:rRNA from 1 species